rnacentral:rRNA from 1 species
GACGUAGGAUGCGAGCGUUGUUCGGAAUUAUUGGGCGUAAAGAGCUUGUAGGCGGUUUGUCGCGUCUGCCGUGAAAUUUCGGGGCUCAACCCCGAACUUGCGGUGGGUACGGGCAGACUAGAGUGUGGUAGGGGAGACUGGAAUUCCUGGUGUAGCGGUGAAAUGCGCAGAUAUCAGGAGGAACACCGAUGGCGAAGGCAGGUCUCUGGGCCACUACUGACGCUGAGAAGCGAAAGCAUGGGGAGCGAACAGG